CUCUCCUAGAGGGGACAUGGAGAGCAUUUUUAAUCAAUCUCAGGUUAAUCUCACAGGAGUUUUUUGUUUCAGCCUUGGAAACGCUAAUUGCAUCAGCCUUAAGACCAAAAAUUUGACUAACUGGGAGGACCCAUUGCGGUCCAGUCAGGUCUCAGGGAGCAUUAUCAGUGCCGUACUGAGCCAAGUAGUUUCGGGGAAGCAAUCAGGCUCAGGGACCCCCGCAAAUAGCUCUGCUUUAAACAUAACUACCUUGGCUAUUAUCUCCAAGGUACUAAUCCCAGUGCCUCCUUCUUCUAAUAGUACUUACAAUGCCACUCAUUUCAAGGCCUCCCCUUACUGUACCCCUAAUCUUGGUUUCCCCCCAACAUUUACGCCUUGUCAGGAUCAUUCUUGGGAGAAACAUCAAGUUGCUAAAGGUUUCUCCCUUUCCCCCUCUCUUAAGAGGCAUGUUUAUAACUUUAACAACAGUGCCAACUCCUCUACAGGAGUAGGUUGAUCCUGGUUUCAAUGGCUGAUUUCCAAUGAGAAGGGGGCUUCAGCCGAUAUUUCUGCAUUGGCUCAAUUGCUGGGAGCCAAAAGCUGGCUGGCUAAUGUUUCUGGCACUGUUAGGGAGAGUGAACGAGGUAAU
rnacentral:lncRNA from 1 species